rnacentral:SRP_RNA from 1 species
GCUGGGCAUGGUGGCGCGUGCCUGUAAUCCCAGCUACUCAGGAGGCUGAGGCAGGAGAAUUGCCUGAACCCAGGAGGCGGAGGUUGCGGUGAGCCGAGAUCGCACCAUUGCACUCCAGCCUGGGUAACAAACAAAAAAAAAAUUUAGAAAGUCCACCUGGGAUGCUAACAGAGAAAAGUAAUUUUUUUUUUUUUGAGACAGAGUUUUACUCGUUACCCAGGCUGGAGUGCAGUGGUGCAAUCUCAGCUCACUGCAACCUCCACCUCCUGGAUUCAAGUGAUUCUCCUGCCUCUC